GUGGGGAAUCUUCCGCAAUGGGCGAAAGCCUGACGGAGCAACGCCGCGUGAGUGAUGACGGCCUUCGGGUUGUAAAGCUCUGUUAUAUGGGACGAACGGGCAUGGGGCGAAUACCCUCAUGCAGUGACGGUACCGUAAGAGAAAGCCACGGCUAACUACGUGCCAGCAGCCGCGGUAAUACGUAGGUGGCAAGCGUUGUCCGGAAUUAUUGGGCGUGAAGGGCGUGUAGGCGGCCAGACAAGUCUGUCUUAAAAGUGCGGGGCUCAACCCCGUGAUGGGAUGGAAACUGUCGGGCUAGAGUGUCGGAGAGGAAAGCGGAAUUCCUAGUGUAGCGGUGAAAUGCGUAGAUAUUAGGAGGAACACCAGUGGCGAAAGCGGCUUUCUGGACGACAACUGACGCUGAGGCGCGAAAGCCAGGGGAGCAAACGGGAUUAGAAACCCCUGUAGUCC
rnacentral:rRNA from 1 species